GACGAACGCUGGCGGCGUGCUUAACACAUGCAAGUCGAACGAAGUGGCGAACGGGUGAGUAACGCGUAAUCAACCUGCCCUUCAGAGGGGGACAACAGUUGGAAACGACUGAUAAUACCGCAUACUGAAGGACGUGAUUGCGACUGAUUAGCUAGUUGGAGGGGGAAAGGCCCACCAAGGCGAUGAUCAGUAGCCUGUCUGAGAGGAUGAACGGCCACAUUGGGACUGAGACACGGCCCAGACUCCUACGGGAGGCAGCAGUGGGGAAUCUUCCCAAUGGACGAAAGUCUGACGGAGCAACGCCGCGUGAGUGAUGACGGCCUUCGGGUUGUAAAGCUCCGUUAAUUGGGACGCGUUACCGGAAUAGAAAGCCACGGCUAACUACGUGCCAGCAGCCGCGGUAAUUC
rnacentral:rRNA from 1 species